UACAGAGGUCUCAAGCGUUGUUCGGAUUCAUUGGGCGUAAAGGGUGCGUAGGUGGCGGGGUAAGUCAGGUGUGAAAUCUCCCGGCUUAACUGGGAGGGUGCGGUGGAAACUGGGGUGCUUGAGUGUGGGAGAGGUAAGCGGAAUUCCUGGUGUAGCGGUGAAAUGCGUAGAUAUCAGGAGGAACACCGGUGGUGUAGACGGCUUACUGGACCACGACUGACACUGAGGCACGAAAGCGUGGGUAGCAAACAGG
rnacentral:rRNA from 1 species